rnacentral:rRNA from 1 species
UACGUAGGGUGCAAGCGUUAAUCGGAAUUACUGGGCGUAAAGACGUGCGCAGGCGGUGAUGUAAGACAGGUGUGAAAUCCCCGGGCUUAACCUGGGAACUGCAUUUGUGACUGCAUCGCUGGAGUGCGGCAGAGGGGGAUGGAAUUCCGGCGUGUAAGCAGUGAAAUGCGUAGAUAUGCGGAGGAACACCGAUGGCGAAGGCAAUCC